UCAGCAGGUAGAUGCAGGAGCCUGGCAGGAGAGUCCUGAGGACAUCUGGUAGACAGGUGGAGAAUAGCAGGAGUGGAAAAUCGAGCAUUAUGGGCCUUGGGAAAAUGGAGGCACAAAUGACUAAGUAAGCAGCCCAAGUGUUUAAGCGGGAGCACAUUUGGGGUCUACAAAACAGCUCACAGAUUUUUUAUUAUCCUGUGCUAAAGUUGAUCUACUUUAAGAGGGACUUUAAUGUGAAAGUUUGGGGAAUGACAUAAUGGUGCUAGACAUAAACCAUGAGACGGCUUUCAGCUACGACCCGCUGACUACAGAAAAUGCAUUGUUACUGGGCUGUGAUGACCAUCCAUCAAAACGUCCCGCUUUGCCAAACAGUGCAUGUGCAUGACUUAGAAACUGGAGAGGAGAGCCUGAAUGACUCAUAAUGGAGAGAACGAGACACAGAGAGGCUGUGAUGUGUCCUUCUGUGUCACUUCAGACAGG